rnacentral:rRNA from 1 species
UACGUAGGGGGCUAGCGUUGUCCGGAAUCAUUGGGCGUAAAGAGCGUGUAGGCGGCCCGGCAAGUCCGCUGUGAAAGUCCAGGGCUCAACCCUGGAAUGCCGGUGGAUACUGUCGAGCUAGAGUCCGGAAGAGGCGAGUGGAAUUCCUGGUGUAGCGGUGAAAUGCGCAGAUAUCAGGAGGAACACCAGUGGCGAAGGCAGCACUCUGGGACGUGACUGACGCUGAGACGCGAAAGCGUGGGGAGCAAACCGG